GAAAAAAUAAAAAUCAGAUGAAGAAAAUUAAAGAGAAUUUUAGAAAUUAUUUUGAAAUUUUUUGGAUAAAAAAUGAAAUUACUAUGAAUUUUAAAAGAAAAAGCAAUUAAAAAAAAUUAAAAUCAGAAAAAACACGGAGGCUUAGAUCACGCCUCAUUAAUUGAUGUGGCGAAUUCAACACUCAAGAUUUUAGAGAAUAUGAUGGAACAUGCUACAAGCAAUACACAAGAUCGAAUUCAAA
rnacentral:lncRNA from 1 species